rnacentral:rRNA from 1 species
GAUGAACGCUGGCGGCGUGCUUAACACAUGCAAGUCGAACGGAAAGGCCCAAGCUUGCUUGGGUACUCGAGUGGCGAACGGGUGAGUAACACGUGGGUGAUCUGCCCUGCACUUCGGGAUAAGCCUGGGAAACUGGGUCUAAUACCGGAUAGGACCACAUUUUGGAUGGUGUGGUGGAAAGUUUUUCGGUGUGGGAUGAGCUCGCGGCCUAUCAGCUUGUUGGUGGGGUAAUGGCCUACCAAGGCGUCGACGGGUAGCCGGCCUGAGAGGGUGUACGGCCACAUUGGGACUGAGAUACGGCCCAGACUCCUACGGGAGGCAGCAGUGGGGAAUAUUGCACAAUGGGCGCAAGCCUGAUGCAGCGACGCCGCGUGGGGGAUGACGGCCUUCGGGUUGGAAACUCCUUUCGCUAGGGACGAAGCGUUAUGUGACGGUACCUGGAGAAGAAGCACCGGCUAACUACGUA